AUUGAACGCUGGCGGAAUGCUUUACACAUGCAAGUCGAACGGCAGCACGGACUUCGGCCUGGUGGCGAGUGGCGAACGGGUGAGUAAUGUAUCGGAACGUGCCCAGUCGUGGGGGAUAACGUAGUGAAAAUUACGCUAAUACCGCAUACGAUCUAUGGAUGAAAGCGGGGGAUCGCAAGACCUCGCGCGAUUGGUGCGGCCGAGAUCAGAUUAGGUAGUUGGUGGGGUAAAGGCUCACCAAGCCAACGAUCUGUAGCUGGUCUGAGAGGACGACCAGCCACACUGGAGAGGAGACACGGUCCAGACUCCUACGGGAGGCAGCAGUGGGGAAUGUUGGACAAUGGGCGAAAGCCUGAUCCAGCCAUCCCGCGUGGAGGAUGAAGGCCCUCGGGUUGUGAACUGCUUUUGUACAGAACGGAAAGGUUUCUACUAAUACUAGGGGCUCAUGACGGUACUGUAAGAAUAAGCACCGGCUAACUACGUGCCAGCAGCCGCAGUAA
rnacentral:rRNA from 1 species